GGGUCAGUAGGUUGGUCGUGCCACCGGUACGUACUGGUCUCACUGAUUCCUCCUUCCUGAAGAACCGUAAUGCCAUUAAUUUGGUGUUGCGGGGAAACAGGACUGUUACUUUGAAAAAAUUAGAGUGUUUAAAGCAAGCUAACGCUUGAAUACAUAGCAUGGAAUAAUGAAAUAGGACGAUCGAUCCUAUUUUGUUGGUUUCUAGGAUUGACGUAAUGAUUAAUAGGAAUAAUUGGG
rnacentral:rRNA from 1 species